GCUGGGAGUGGUGGUGCACGCCUGUAAUCCUAGCUACUUGGGAAGCUGAGGUGGGAGAAUUGCUUGAACCCAGGAGGCAGAGGUUGCAGUGAGCCGAGAUCGGGCCACUGCACUCCAGCCUGGGUGACAGAGUGAGACUCCAUAUCAA
rnacentral:SRP_RNA from 2 species